rnacentral:rRNA from 1 species
GUGGGGAAUUUUGGACAAUGGGCGCAAGCCUGAUCCAGCAAUGCCGCGUGCAGGAAGAAGGCCUUCGGGUUGUAAACUGCUUUUGUACGGAACGAAACGGUCCUGGCUAAUACCCGGGGCUAAUGACGGUACCGUAAGAAUAAGCACCGACUAACUACGUGCCAGCAGCCGCGGUAAUACGUAGGGUGCGAGCGUUAAUCGGAAUUACUGGGCGUAAAGCGUGCGCAGGCGGUGCUGUAAGACAGGCGUGAAAUCCCCGGGCUCAACCUGGGAAUUGCGCUUGUGACUGCAGUGCUGGAGUGCGGCAGAGGGGGAUGGAAUUCCGCGUGUAGCAGUGAAAUGCGUAGAUAUGCGGAGGAACACCGAUGGCGAAGGCAAUCCCCUGGGCCUGCACUGACGCUCAUGCACGAAAGCGUGGGGAGCAAACAGGAUUAGAAACCCCUGUAGUCC